rnacentral:rRNA from 1 species
GACGAACGCUGGCGGCGUGCCUAACACAUGCAAGUCGAGCGGGGAUUUAAGUGGACGUUCUUCUGUAUGGCGUAUUAACUUCUAGCGGCGGACCGCUUAGUCACCCUUGCACACUCUGUCCCGGACCGGGGGAUAACACUUGGAAACAGCUCCUACUACCGCAUAUGACCACGGCCUCGCAUGGGGCUGAGGUAACAGGAGCAAUCCGGUUCGUGGUGGGUUCGCGUCCGUUUAGCUAGUUGGUGAGGUGACGGCCCACCGAGGCGACGAUCGGUAGCCGGCGUAAGGGGAUGAGCGGCCAAAUUGGAACGGAGAGACGAGCCAGACACCUACGGGAGGCAGCAGUGGGGAAUAUGGGGCAAGGGGCGAGAGCCUGACCCAGCAUCGCGGCGUGAGGGAAGAAGGUUUGCGGAGUGUAAACCUCUGGCGUAUGGGAAGAAGGAAGUGACGGUACCAAAGAAGGAAGCCCCGGCUACCUACGU